rnacentral:rRNA from 1 species
GACGAACGCUGGCGGCGUGCUUAACACAUGCAAGUCGAACGGAAAGGCCCUGCUUUUGUGGGGUGCUCGAGUGGCGAACGGGUGAGUAACACGUGAGUAACCUGCCCUUGACUUUGGGAUAACUUCAGGAAACUGGGGCUAAUACCGGAUAGGAGCUCCUGCUGCAUGGUGGGGGUUGGAAAGUUUCGGCGGUUGGGGAUGGACUCGCGGCUUAUCAGCUUGUUGGUGGGGUAGUGGCUUACCAAGGCUUUGACGGGUAGCCGGCCUGAGAGGGUGACCGGCCACAUUGGGACUGAGAUACGGCCCAGACUCCUACGGGAGGCAGAAGUGGGGAAUAUUGCACAAUGGGCGGAAGCCUGAUGCAGCAACGCCGCGUGCGGGAUGACGGCCUUCGGGUUGUAAACCGCUUUCGCCUGUGACGAAGCGCGAGUGACGGUAAUGGGUAAAGAAGCACCGGCUAACUACGUG